UGCUUACUUAGACUAGAAGCAUUCUGUACAAGACAAACUACUAUAUGCUAGUAUUACUUACACUCUGUGUGUGGGGCACUCUCCUUUAAUUUUCUAGCAUGUUAAAUUUAACAUUCUAAUAUAUUUCUUUGAAACAAUAGUCUAGCACAACUUAUUUACUUCAUUUUUUAAAAUAGCUAAUACAUAUUGAAUUAUUCAUGUAUUAAUCUAAAAUAAUAACCAAACAACUACAGGAUAGUGGAUUAGUAGCAUGCAUGUGUGACUUAGUUUUUGGUGUGUUUUUCUUGCAGGUCAUUGUUGUGAAGGCCGCCAAGGGAAGGAGUGGGGGAUUUGGCACAAGUCUGGUGAUCGAGUCUAUGCUCUCUUCUCCAUGGAAAGACCUAAAUUCAGCUUGACAGAGAGCACACGAAUGGUUUCAGCUUGACAACAAAUGUAUGAAACUUCUUAGCUGUGGACGACAACUACUACCUUGAGAAGGACCAGCAUCACCCAUCAAGUAUGCCAUCGAGGGCGACGGCCGAAGGCAUGAUGAUAGUUCUAUUGUUGUUCUAGUGUAGCGAAGGUGGCCUAGUCGACUAUGGUCGCCUAGUGAGUCGUGCAUAGGAUUUCAUCUGAAUGUAACCUUGAUGUAAACUGCUCCUAUUGU